CUCUGAAAGGAUGUUUGCACUGAAAAGAAAGUACAGCGACCCCAGCGGAGCCCCGGGGCUUUGGCUCCACAUGAGGCAAUCAGUUUGGCCCAAAAUAGGAGGUCAGACUGCAGAACGGCUCGCUGGGUGUGAAGGAGAAACAACAAAAAGAAGAGAGAAAACUUACGUCCACAGAGAGGUGGAACAGUGCAGAGACGGACUGAGGCAAAGCAAAUCAAGCUGCUAACACUUGUGCAAUUUUUCUCAACAGUGUCUUCAGAAAAAGCAAAGAAGAACUAACUGCGGGCAUUUAACAACUUCGCUAAGCCUGUAACCAGUUCAUUCAUCCAGCCACUGGGGGCGCUGUUAUGAAAAGACUGUCUGUGACUGACUGGAGUGGAGCUGAAGUUGUCUGCCGUUUACGUCCCAAAACUUGAUGAAAACUUCAUAUGGAGAUUCCAACUUUAACGCUGAGUCCAGCCUGGACUUCUGGACCUCAUUAGUUUUCCAAUUAGCCGGUGUCAUCUGCCACCGGUCCUCCCAGUUACUUUGGCCGCCAUGACUCCUCCGCCCUGAUUCGUCUCACCAGGAACAGUGCAGUCAGUGGCAGCAGAGGCUCCCAGUCCAACCAGUACGGCAUGCUCACACUAAACCAGCACACCAGUAGUUUGAGGAAAGUUUUCCAGCCACGCGGAACAAAGAGUCAGGCGGGAAAGUGACGUCAAACAGCUGCGGUUUAAUAAUCGCUGGUAGAAAACCAGUGUGAUCUGGUUUCCAACAGGAUCUUUCAGGUUUGAGGACCCGUCACUCCCACACCUCAGUCACACCGCAGCGACUGGCAGAAACCAACAAGAAAGACAUUAAAGGUGGAGCAGGGUUGAAAAAUACAUUUUAAUUACAAUUCUGGAAAACUGGGGCCAUUAAUUAAUGAUUUAAAUGGAAACCAGCAGCUUUGGAUCCAGUUUCACAGUCAGGAUAUAACUAUUAUAUCCAUUAUUUCAAUGUUUUCUGAUGACGGGACUGAACCGAGUUAUGCAGUAAAACCGAAGGACAAAUUAAA